rnacentral:rRNA from 1 species
GAUGAACGCUGGCGGCGUGCCUAAUACAUGCAAGUCGAGCGAACGGACGAGAAGCUUGCUUUUCUGAUGUUAGCGGCGGACGGGUGAGUAACACGUGGAUAACCUACCUAUAAGACUGGGAUAACUUCGGGAAACCGGAGCUAAUACCGGAUAAUAUUUUGAACCGCAUGGUUCAAAAGUGAAAGACGGUCUUGCUGUCACUUAUAGAUGGAUCCGCGCUGCAUUAGCUAGUUGGUAAGGUAACGGCUUACCAAGGCAACGAUGCAUAGCCGACCUGAGAGGGUGAUCGGCCACACUGGAACUGAGACACGGUCCAGACUCCUACGGGAGGCAGCAGUAGGGAAUCUUCCGCAAUGGGCGAAAGCCUGACGGAGCAACGCCGCGUGAGUGAUGAAGGUCUUCGGAUCGUAAAACUCUGUUAUUAGGAAAGAACAUAUGUGUAAGUAACUGUGCACAUCUUGACGGUACCUAAUCAGAAAGCCACGGCUAACUACGUGCCAGCAGCCGCGGUAAUACGUAGGUGGCAAGCGUUAUCCGGAAUUAUUGGGCGUAAAGCGCGCGUAGGCGGUUUUUUAAGUCUGAUGUGAAAGCCCACGGCUCAACCGUGGAGGGUCAUUGGAAACUGGAAAACUUGAGUGCAGAAGAGGAAAGUGGAAUUCCAUGUGUAGCGGUGAAAUGCGCAGAGAUGUGGAGGAACACCAGUGGCGAAGGCGACUUUCUGGUCUGUAACUGACGCUGAUGUGCGAAAGCGUGGGGAUCAAACAGGAUUAGAUACCCUGGUAGUCCACGCCGUAAACGAUGAGUGCUAAGUGUUAGGGGGUUUCCGCCCCUUAGUGCUGCAGCUAACGCAUUAAGCACUCCGCCUGGGGAGUACGACCGCAAGGUUGAAACUCAAAGGAAUUGACGGGGGCCCGCACAAGCGGUGGAGCAUGUGGUUUAAUUCGAAGCAACGCGAAGAACCUUACCAAAUCUUGACAUCCUUUGACAACUCUAGAGAUAGAGCCUUCCCCUUCGGGGGACAAAGUGACAGGUGGUGCAUGGUUGUCGUCAGCUCGUGUCGUGAGAUGUUGGGUUAAGUCCCGCAACGAGCGCAACCCUUAAGCUUAGUUGCCAUCAUUAAGUUGGGCACUCUAAGUUGACUGCCGGUGACAAACCGGAGGAAGGUGGGGAUGACGUCAAAUCAUCAUGCCCCUUAUGAUUUGGGCUACACACGUGCUACAAUGGACAAUACAAAGGGCAGCGAAACCGCGAGGUCAAGCAAAUCCCAUAAAGUUGUUCUCAGUUCGGAUUGUAGUCUGCAACUCGACUACAUGAAGCUGGAAUCGCCAGUAAUCGUAGAUCAGCAUGCUACGGUGAAUACGUUCCCGGGUCU